AUUGAACGCUGGCGGCAUGCCUUACACAUGCAAGUCGAACGGUAACAGGUCUUCGGAUGCUGACGAGUGGCGAACGGGUGAGUAAUACAUCGGAACGUGCCCGAUCGUGGGGGAUAACGCAGCGAAAGCUGUGCUAAUACCGCAUACGAUCUACGGAUGAAAGCGGGGGAUCGCAAGACCUCGCGCGGACGGAGCGGCCGAUGGCAGAUUAGGUAGUUGGUGGGAUAAAAGCUUACCAAGCCGACGAUCUGUAGCUGGUCUGAGAGGACGACCAGCCACACUGGGACUGAGACACGGCCCAGACUCCUACGGGAGGCAGCAGUGGGGAAUUUUGGACAAUGGGGGAAACCCUGAUCCAGCCAUGCCGCGUGCAGGAUGAAGGCCUUCGGUUGUAAACUGCUUUUGUACAGAACGAAAAAGACUCUUUCUAAUACAGAGAGUCCAUGACGGUACUGUAAGAAUAAGACAACCGGCUAACUAACGUGCCAGCACGG
rnacentral:rRNA from 1 species